CCUACGGGUGGCAGCAGUGGGGAAUAUUGCACAAUGGGCGCAAGCCUGAUGCAGCGACGCCGCGUGCGGGAUGGAGGCCUUCGGGUUGUAAACCGCUUUUGUUCAAGGGCAAGGCACGGUCUUUGGCCGUGUUGAGUGGAUUGUUCGAAUAAGCACCGGCUAACUACGUGCCAGCAGCCGCGGUAAUACGUAGGGUGCAAGCGUUAUCCGGAUUUAUUGGGCGUAAAGGGCUCGUAGGCGGUUCGUCGCGUCCGGUGUGAAAGUCCAUCGCUUAACGGUGGAUCCGCGCCGGGUACGGGCGGGCUUGAGUGCGGUAGGGGAGACUGGAAUUCCCGGUGUAACGGUGGAAUGUGUAGAUAUCGGGAAGAACACCAAUGGCGAAGGCAGCUUACCAAGCUACUUCUGACGUUGAGGCACGAAAGCGUGGGGAGCAAACAGGAUUAGAUACCCCAGUAGUC
rnacentral:rRNA from 1 species